GUGGCUCUGGAGAAUCCCGGAAGGGUGCCGAAGGUGCAAGGACACAUGCCGAAUGGUGUGCCGAAUCUCUCAGGCAAAAGGACAGAGUGU
rnacentral:ncRNA from 1 species